UGAUGUAUAUAUAGAGCUUGACCGCUCACUGGCCGCUGAGAGGCGGUAAAUAGGAGCUGACUUCCGGUAGUGGCAAGAUGGGGAUUUCAUAUUGGAACGCCAGCACGGUGGAUGUGGCUAAUAUCUGACCAUGGUGAAGUCGUGUGCUGCCAUCUCCUGCACCAGUCGAUUUGUAAUAUUUCCUUUCAUAAGUUUCCCAAGCAGUCCAAGGACAACACACUGAGAGAUCAAUGGAUACAGGCCAUCAGUAGAGAAGUGGUGGGGACCAAGAGGAGAUGAUCAUAAUUAUGUAUGCAGCAACCAUUUCAGGGAGGAGGACUUCAUCCUCUCAAAACAUGCUCAACACAAGCUUCUCAGGCCAGGGGCUGUACCAUCCCUCAAUCUGGGGAAACCAGAGAAAAAGAUCGCAGUGAGGACAACCCAAAGCAGCCCGGCAGCAGUGGCAUUAUACCAGCACAUGGACAUGGAGCCUGAACAAGAGUCUGAAGAGGGCAGUACUGCUGUUAGUGAACACCAUGCAUACUGUACAGACAUUGACAACCUGAAGAGGAAAUAUGACGAUCUAAUUGUACAGCUUGAAAAGCUGAGGCAGGACUUCAACAACGCCAAACGUAGAGAGAAGCACUGCAGAGUGACGUUGGAGGCCAUGUUAGCUAAAACCAAGGAAAUACAAGCCCUGUCUGAUGAUGCUCAUUCCAUGCUUGAUGCAUAUAAAGGUAUUCCUUGUUUAGAAGUACAUAUGAGUGACGUGCAGCACAUUUAAAUAUAAUUAUGUAACUGCACAUUGCUCACCCACACAGUGCACUAGAACUGAGAUCAAUGUUUGUUAAUGCAACAUUAUAUAAACAAUUUUGCGGCUGUGAUACCCAACAUUCAUGUGGAAACUAUCUAAGCUAUUAACUAUGUUUGAUCACACUUAAUUUUCAAGUACAGGUAAAUUGAUGUUGAUAGACCCUGUUUCUUUACCAGAAUAAUGUCAUUUGUUUGUAACUCCACAACACCUGAAAUUGGGACAUAUAUACAACAUGCAUUUAGGUUGAAUAUUUAUGAAAAUUGCAAACUAAACUCAAAGGGUUGACUGAACUUUGAUGGUUCCUCAUGAAGCAUGAUGUGCUGUAUAAAUGCCGUCUACAUACUGCAAUCUGCCUGAAAGUUUGUGAUUGAUCACAGUCCUGUGAUGACAUCCAUAUGCCAAUGUGCACUCAGUCAUAGCGUCACCUGCUGUAGAGGAAGUUACAAGUUUUACACUUUAAUGUUGUACUAUACUUUUAAUAAAUUUAUCUGCACUUUUUUUCAUUUACUUUAAAUUAACUUCUUUUCUAUUGGUUGUUGCAAUUAGUGUCUGAUAUGCUUUUAUCUUUUUCCAUUUCUUGUCUUCUUUUGGCUGUUUUACUCAAUCAGUUUUAAUUAUUCUAGAAAUGAGUGUCCAUUGUAUUCAAUGAACCUUUUCUGAUUAAAGUGACUUCAUUUUUUAUUACA